rnacentral:rRNA from 1 species
CAGCCGCCGCGGUAAUACGAAGGGUGCAAGCGUUACUCGGAAUUACUGGGCGUAAAGCGUGCGUAGGUGGUUGUUUAAGUCUGCUGUGAAAGCCCUGGGCUCAACCUGAGAAUUGCAGUGGAUACUGGGCAACUAGAGUAAGGUAGAGGAUAGUGGAAUUUCCGGUGUAGCAGUGAAAUGCGUAGAGAUCGGAAGGAACAUCUGUGGCGAAGGCGACUAUCUGGGCCAUUACUGACACUGAGGCACGAAAGCGUGGGGAGCAAACAGGAUUAGAUACCCCUGUAGUCCCUGUCUCUUAUAC